ACUGGUUGAUCCUGCCAGUAGUCAUAUGCUUGUCUCAGAGAUUAAGCCAUGCAUGUCUAAGUACAUACCUUAAAACGGUGAAACCGCGAAUGGCUCAUUAAAUCAGCUAUGGUUCCUUAGAUCGUANACGCUACAUGGAUAACUGUAGUAAUUCUAGAGCUAAUACAUGCCUUGAAUCCCUGACCCGCAAGGGGACGGGUGCAUUUAUUAUAACAGAACCACCGGGUGCGGCUUAUGCUGUGCCUGUUAAUUCUGUGAUGACUCUGGAUAACUUUACUGAUCGCAGUCGGCCUUGUGUGUCGGCGACGGAUCUUUCAAAUGUCUGCCCUAUCAAUUUGUUGGUAGGUGAUUUGCCUACCAUGAUGAUAACGGGUAACGGGGAAUCAGGCUUCGAUUCCGGAGAGGGAGCCUGAGAAAUGGCUACCACAUCCAAGGACGGCAGCAGGCGCGAAAAUUACCCACUCCCAGCACGGGGAGGUAGUGACGAAAAAUACGGAUACGGGACUCAAUUGAGGCUCCGUAAUUCGAAUGAGUACAAUUUAAAUCCUUUAACGAGGACCAAUUGGAGGGCAAGUCUGGUGCCAGCAGCCGCGGUAACUCCAGCUCCAAAAGCGUAUAUUAAAGUUGCUGCAGUUAAAAAGCUCGUAGUUGGAUCUGGGUAGUGCGAUCGCAUGCUGUUGCUUGUUCACGGUCUUGGUUACGAUCAGGGCAGUGGUCAGCUCGGCGUAGUGGUUGUGCAACCUUUCAGCCGUGUCUGUGUUUUAUUAAACAGGUGUCGAUGGGUUAAUGAGUAUUGUAUCUUAUUGACCUGUUGGCAUGCUUUCGGAUGCCUUUAAACGGGUGUCGGGGGCGGACGGCAUCUUUACUUUGAACAAAUUUGAGUGCUCAAAGCAGGCCUAUGCGCCUGAAAAUUCUUGCAUGGAAUAAUGAAAUAGGACUUCGGUUCUAUUUCGUAGGUUUUCGGAUCCGAAGUAAUGGUUAAGAGGGACAGACGGGGGCAUUUGUAUGGCGGUGUUAGAGGUGAAAUUCUGGGAUCGCCGGCAGACAAACUACAGCGAAAGCAUUUGCCAAGAAUGUUUUCAUUGAUCAGGAGCGAAAGUCAGAGUUUCGAAGACGAUCAGAUACCGUCGUAGUUCUGAACA
rnacentral:rRNA from 1 species